CUCAGUUCCUAUGCUUUCUAGCUGAUGUUUUGGUCACUUUUGAAUGCUGGCGGUGCUUUCACUCUAGUGGUAGCAUGAGACGGAGUCUACAACCCACACAAGUGGCUCAGAUAGUGCAGCUCAUCCAGGAUGGCACAUCAAUACGAGCUGUGGCAAGAAGGUUUGCUGUGUCUGUCAGCGUAGUGUCCAGAGCAUGGAGGCGCUACCAGGAGACAGGCCAGUACAUCAGGAGACGUGGAGGAGGCCGUAGGAGGGCAACAACCCAGCAGCAGGACCUCUACCUCCACCUUUGUGCAAGGAGGAACAGGAGGAGCACUGCCAGAGCCCUGCAAAAUGACCUCCAGCAGGCCACAAAUGUGCAUGUGUCUGCUCAAACGGUGAGAAACAGACUCCAUGAGGGUGGUAUGAGGGCCCGACGUCCACAGGUGGGGGUUGUGCUUACAGCCCAACACCGUGCAGGACGUUUGGCAUUUGCCAGAGAACACCAAGAUUGGCAAAUUCGCCACUGGCGCCCUGUGCUCUUCACAGAUGAAAGCAGGUUCACACUGAGCACAUGUGACAGACGCGACAGAGUCUGGAGACGCCGUGGAGAACGUUCUAGGGCCUGCUACAUCCUCCAGCAUGACCGGUUUGACGGUGGGUCAGUAAUGGUGUGGGGUGGCAUUUCUUAGUGUUCCCUUUAUUUUUUUGAGCAGUGUAUAAGAUAUAUGUAUUAACCGUACUUAUCAAUAGUAGAUAGUAUUGUGUGAAUGAGUAGGCGUAGGCCAUUGGUAUCUAGGUAUGCGCACUAACGGUGUGUCUAUUGGUCAGGAGGUCAUGACACCGGGGGUAGGUGUGCUGCCGGGUAUAGUCUACUGAUGAUCUCCUAUCGGGGAUAAAUAUCGACCCCCAGUGCAUAAUGAUCAUAGUCUCUGAUCCUCCAAACGUCUGAAGCGCUAGGCUAAGCUAGUAGACUCGUCAUAGCGGCUGCAGAAAAAAAAAAAAAAAAAAAAAAAAACAUCAAUCCGUCCUGCGCAACUAUGCCUACUGACUUGAUUUCUGACGUCGGCAAUGAGAGCGUGAAAAAGCAUCAGGGUCCACGUGCACCAGGUGCAUAUGAUAUUCGGUUGAAUAAUCAAAGAACAAUACUCGGAGAUCAGACCAAUGCGGGGGGCCAGCGGUAGUUAUGUGCCUAUUGUGAAUAGUGUGAAACAGUGGACCCCUGGAUCAAACCGUCUAUCCAAGAAAAAUCUCAAAAGACCGAACCGUGCUCUACCUCUACCCUGCUCCCCCGCUGGCCAUAGAUCAGCCGCAAAUUCCUUAUAAAAAGGGACGCAAGGACACCGCUCAUAGUGUUUUAACUCCAGAGAAUUUUAACUUGGUUCUCCAUGCAGUCAUAAACCCUCAAAUCGCGCAGCAAGGGGCUGUAUGGUCUGAGUCCAAACAAAAAGUGAUCGGGGCGGUGGAUGUGCAUGUGUCUGCGCCGCCUGCAGAGACCGUUACUGUACAGCCGGAUGGAGGCAUUCAGCAUGUCCUUGGUGACCCUCAGUAUGCACCACUACCAGAACUGACCGAUGAGGAUCUCGAGGGUCUUGUCGACAUUCUGUUGUGGCCCUCAGCGCUGUUGGAACAGCUCGACUUCACUCCCGCUCAUUGGAUAGACCCUCCAGCUACUUCCGUAGGGGGUACCGCCAGUGCAGAACCUGUAAACCAUCAGCCUGCAGCCCCCGCCUCUGGAUCACUACCCAUCAUCCAGGCCUCUAUCCACGAUCCGCCAGGCACUGAGUCCCUACGCCUACGGGGCAGUGGCUACGCUGCUACCAGGCGACUCAGCGGUUGCUGAUGAAUACAUUGCGGGUGGGCCAUGUAUCAACUGUUGUAAAGAAUGUGUUGAUAAAUUAACCUUGGUAACUACAGCGGCUGAUGUAAAUGCCUUAACCAUUGGUCGUCAGUGUAAACUGGGUGUAUUGUCUGUGAAACAUAUUGACAGCAGAUUUCAGGCUAUCGAAGAGCAAACGAAGCAGUCACUCAAGGCACUCGGGGCCAUCAAGGCCGAGAUAGCGUGUGAUCGUCGUGCUAAUGCAUCCCAGAAAGCCGAGCUAGUGCGUUAUGGUCUGGCUAUAGCAUCAAUACAGCAGAAUAAUUUGGCUGUCGAGGCAGCAGUGCGUGUUAACACUCUGGCUUUGGAUAGGGGGCCUAAGAUAUCUAAUAUAGCUCGGAAAAUUUGGCUAAUUGAAGAUACGGCGCAGGAUAACAUCAGGGCCUACAAGGCCAUGUCUGCCCGGAUGACUGUUAUGAAUAAUGCUCUGGAUAAGCUUACGAUGAAUCGUUAGUAUUUGAUUUGUGGUUUUGGUGUGUUCUUUUUAUUUUUUGUUUGUUUGCUUUUUCGUUUAUUCUGUGGAGGGUAUUUUUUGUUUUAAACUGAACGUUAUAAAACUUUUUUCUUUUAAUAUCUGACUAAUUAACUUUUUUUUUUUUUUUUUUAAUCUAAUGGCAUAAAAACUAUAGCUGAACACUAUGCAUAAAGCUAUUAGCCCUAGAAAAAGGAAAUUCAAAUCUGUAGACGUAAAUCCCAAGAGACGGCGUAGAUCUGAUAGCGGGGAUAGCAUUAUGGAUGUAGAUCUUGAAGAGAUGGCUAUGAGGUAUGAUGCAACCGGCGAUACGUCUCAUUUGCUGGCUGUAGGACGUGUGGGGGGUGGGGGCAUGAGUGCUGAAGGUGGUUUAGACAUGCGGGAAAUACGUGCUGACAUAGCUAGAACUAGACGUGUGUUAAUUGCUGCUGAUGCCUGGGGGGGUCGAAUGACAGAUGCGCUAGACAGGGCUGCUAUGAUAAAUGUUUCGAACGAUCCAUGUGUAGAUGGCGGGGAGGUGUGUGUGGAGUUAGAUGUCCCCGGGGAUUUAGACACACGGGAUGUGUUGUAUGCGGCGGCAUACACCAGAGAUGUACUUAACACUGUAGAUGGGUGGCUGGCUAGUGCACAAGAGAGGCUAGACAUAGCCGCUCAGAUAGACAUAACAUCGCCGAUAGAUGUAUUGCAUGUGUCGCAACGUGACGAAGGGGAUGGCGAGGGUUUUCAGGAACACCUGGCUGCUGCAGGGGGUAGGACUGGUGACUCUAUAGAGUCGAAUAUACAGGACGGUGGUGGUGGUGGUGGCGGUGUUGAUGUUGAUGGUGACGAUGGCGGGGCUGAUGUUGAUGGCUGUGGUGAUGAUGAUGGUGGUGAUGAUGGUACACCUGCGCCUAUGGGGGCGGGUGAUGAUAAUGACGAGUUGCAUACUAGAUUAUUUCCCCGCUUUAACGGUUUUGAGGUUAGAC
ensembl:lncRNA